rnacentral:rRNA from 1 species
UACGUAGGGUGCGAGCGUUAAUCGGAAUUACUGGGCGUAAAGCGUGCGCAGGCGGCUGUGCAAGACAGAUGUGAAAUCCCCGGGCUCAACCUGGGAACUGCAUUUGUGACUGCACGGCUGGAGUGCGGCAGAGGGGGAUGGAAUUCCGCGUGUAGCAGUGAAAUGCGUAGAUAUGCGGAGGAACACCGAUGGCUAAGGCAAUCCCCUGGGCCUGCACUGACGCUCAUGCACGAAAGCGUGGUGAUCAAACAGG